GGCCUCCCAAUGCUUACCACAGCCUUGUUCUUUACACUGACUGUAUAGAAAGAGGAGUUAUAGUAAAUGCUUUCCAUAUACACCUCAAACUAGAUCCUUUACCUGGUCUGUAUUGUGAAUGUGGGGACAAAA